UACGUAGGGGGCUAGCGUUGUCCGGAUUUAUUGGGCGUAAAGAGCGUGUAGGCGGCCAGGUAGGUCUGCUGUGAAAGCCCUCGGCUCAACCGAGGAAGUGCAUACGAAACUGGCGAGCUUGAAUAUGGAAGAGGGUCGCGGAAUUCCCGGUGUAGAGGUGAAAUUCGUAGAUAUCGGGAGGAACACCAGUGGCGAAGGCGGCGACCUGGGCCAAUAUUGACGCUGAGGUGCGAAAGCGUGGGGAGCAAACAGG
rnacentral:rRNA from 1 species